rfam:Aedes albopictus isolate Foshan contig21116, whole genome shotgun sequence.
UAGCCUAGUGGUUAAGGCUAUGGACCACCAAUCCGGAGACGGCGGGUUCAAUCCCCGU